UGGCACAUAAACAUACCCACUACACUCAUCUC
rnacentral:piRNA from 1 species